rnacentral:rRNA from 1 species
CUACGGGCCGCUCCAGUGGGGAAUAUUGCACAAUGGAGGAAACUCUGAUGCAACAACGCCGCGUGGAGGAUGACACUUUUCGGAGCGUAAACUCCUUUUAUAUAGGAAGAAGAUGACGGUACUAUAUGAAUAAGCGCCGGCUAACUCCGUGCCAGCAGCCGCGGUAAUACGGAGGGCGCAAGCGUUACUCGGAAUCACUGGGCGUAAAGAGCGUGUAGGCGGAUUAAAAAGUCAGAAGUGAAAUCCUAUAGCUUAACUAUAGAACUGCUUCUGAAACUCUUAAUCUAGAAUAUGGGAGAGGUAGAUGGAAUUUCUGGUGUAGGGGUAACAUCCGUAGAGAUCAGAAGGAAUACCGAUUGCGAAGGCGAUCUACUAGAACAUUAUUGACGCUGAGACGCGAAAGCGUGGGGAGCAAACAGGAUUAGAUACCCUCGUAGUC